AUAUCAUCCUGUUUUUGAGGCAAUAGUUAGUCUCUGAAAGGUCAGAGGAUAUUAUAGUGAAUUUUAAUAAGAAGUCGAUGUCACCGAUUUCAUGAAGUUCAUUUGAUAUCUUAUUUUGCUGACAGUUGAUUUGUCCAGGAUAGUGAUCACGUGUAGCGUGCAGCCCCCAACCAGUCUGAAUGUGACCUUAUGUAGCUCCGGGUUUCACCAUUGACGGUCACAAUUUCUGGCUUCAACAUAUACAUAAGUCCAUUCUUUAUAUCACACUCACCCCUAGCAGGUUAUAUUAUCUCUCAUUCUCAAGAUGCUAGAUUUUAGUUUGUUCCCAGCUCUCAGAUGUGAAGCUGGCCUGAGUUCAACAGACUCUACUGAGCUCCUGCCCAGGGCUGUGACGUUGCCUCCCGUGGGGCUCAUAUUGGUUGCCCCUCAUUGCUCUCUUUAGCCCCAUCACAAUUAUGUAGCUAAUAUCCACUGGAAGCUGGGUUUGAAGCAAACAAGAUUUGGCAUAUUUCAGUGUAUUUUUUCUUCAGAUUCUAAUAGAAGCAGGCUUCUCUAAGAAGUAGGAGGCUGCCUGCACCAGCAGCCAGGCAAAGACUUGGAGCUGCUUUUAUAUUAGGUGAAAGGGGUGAGGUUUUAUUUUACUCAGUUCUUAAUUAGUGCUGGGUGAGUUUUUCAAAGAUAUGCAUUAUCCAGAUGCAUGGCUCGCUCUCCGGCCUCUCUCCUGUUUUACUGCCCACCAAGAUUCAUAUCAAGGGGUGUCUGGAGCCAAAAGUGAUUCAAAGAAGUCAUUCUAACUUCUGGUGGGAAGUGAGGUGAGCAGUGUAGUUAAGAGAGCCAGUGUGAAUGAGAGCUGACACUUCUUACUCAUGUCAUUGUCUGAUGAGUGGAGUCGAAGAGUCUCUGCUUUCUGUAAAUUUUUAAUGGCCGCUCAUGUUUGGAUGAUAACUGAAAUAUUAUCCAGUGAAAUCACUGCUCUGAUCCUUCCACUGCCUUUGUGGAAUCUGUGUCAAGGGACUGUCUUGGUUUUCACACUGCAGAUCUCACUUUCUCCCAGGCUGGCUGGCCCAUGCGCUCUUUGGUUGUUCUGUUGGGCUGUGCUGUGGUGAUCUUGAUUCCUGUACUUCCAUUUGCUGGUCCUCCUUUUUCCUCUUGGGGUCACACGGAACAGAACCUAAUUCCGACACUUGGCAGCCUUUCACAUCUUUGAAAGAUGUCCCUCUGUAUGCACCCACUUAUGUAUGACAUGAUUUGGUCCCUGUUGCGUCCCUACCUAACUACUGCACUUGGGUGACUAUAGCAUGUGGGUCUCUCAAACCUCUAGUAAUAGGUCAAGUCUCCAAGCUGUCUGAGGCUAAGCUACCUCCUGUCAAAUAGUUGCCUCAUGUGGAUUCAGCUGCACUUGGUUUACUUCAAAAUAAUAUUCCUUAAACAGGUAUUUUUUGAGUAUUUACCAUGUGUCAGCACUGGGGGUACACUGGGUAUAGUGGAGAGCAAAAUAACCGGAUUUCUGUCCUCAAUAUAGUGAGAGGUUAGACCAAAUAUCCAUUACGUAUGUGUCUGUGUCUGUGUAAUGUAUCAUUGCAAAUUGUAAAGGUUGAGUGCUGCUUAUUGUCUGGUGACCCAAAUCAGGUACAGCUGCGAACAAGCUCCCUAGCCAGAUGGGGCCACUGGCUCAGCCCUGAAGAUGGGCAGGGCCACUGGCUGGGAUGACUGUGCGGGUACCUCUGUGAGCAGGAAUGUGAUCUUGGGAGCCUGGUUGUUGUUGGUGUCGCCCCCUUCUCUGUCUCUAUUUGAUCUCUAGCUGUUGAGCCUUACAGAUUAUCUGAAUGAUCCCCCAUAAGAUGAGACCCAAUUGGGCCUCCCAAGAUGUGUCUGCCAAUGCUGCGGGAGCUGGAUGUCCACCUUGGGCUCUCAUUAUCCCCCUGAAGAAACUGCAGGCCCAGGGAGCCCUCUGGGUGAGGUGCUGUGCCGCCUGGGGGAGGGGCGAUGAGGUCCGAGUGUAACUGCUCCUCCUGCCCUUCUAAUGUGGUUCUUCUUGGUCCAGGAGGGUGCUUCAGCCUCAUCCCUGGGUUCUGAGAUUUUCAUAAUGCUGUCUUGUCUACGGUUAGUUGCUAGUCGGUCUUUUUGUGAGGGGGACUGAAGUUGGGAACAACCCAUGUCUCCUUCUUUUUUGUUUUGCUUUUUUUUAGGGCUGCAUGUGUGGCAUAUGGAGGUUCCCAGACCAGGGGUCUAAUCAGAGCUGCAGCUGCCAGCCUUUGCCACAGCCACUGCAAUGUGGGAUCAGCCAAGUCUGUGACCUACACCAUAGCUCAUGGUAAUGCCAGAUCCUUAACCACUGAGUGGGGGGCCAGGGACCGAACCCGUGCCUCCAUGGAUACUAGUCGAGUUUGUCAUCACAGAGCUACAACGGGAACAACUUGUGUCUCCUUCUUGAUGACAUUACUGUUUUUUUUUGGUGUGUGUUUUGUGGGAUAGACCUGAACUGAUUUAAGUGCUGAGAGACAGGUUGAGGAGAAGAUACUGAAGAGCAGAAGGAGUACUGGGAUACAGAGCACAGGGAUUAGCCUGAAAGAGAAGCAGAAAUAGCUGUACCCCGUAAUGCGAGGGCUGGAAGAGAGAACUGGUGCUGACAGUGAAGUGUAUAGGCUUGGUGAAGAGAAGUGGGAAAGUCUUCUACUUUGUAAUGAUUUAUCUGCUUAGAGUGAAUGGGGGGUGGAAGGAUUGGAGGCUUGAGUUAAGUAGUGCACAGGCCAUUAAGAAGAGAGAACUGACUAUAGGAAAACACGGAAGUUAACUCAGUGCUCAGUUAAAGGUGGAAUCUCAUGAAUUUAUAGUGGCAACAAUCUGUGCGUUUGGGUGAUUCUCCCCAGAAGUGCUUCACUGCCCAUGUAUAUGCACGUUUUUAAAAAUUAUUUUUUGUUAUUUUGUUGAGAUGUAACUCACAUAUUAAAAAAGUCUCCACUUUAUAGUAUAUAAUGCAGUGACUUUUAGCAUAGUCACAUUUUUAUUAUCCCAGAAAGAAACUGUGUACCCCUUUAGCCAUCACUUCUCUUUCUCUCCUCCCCCUUGCCUUGGAAAUACUAAUCUUCCUAUGUCUUUGGAUAUAUCUAUUAUGGACUUUUCAUUUAAAUGGAGUCAUAAAGUAAGUGGCCCUUGGCAUCUGGUAUCUGGUAUUUUGCUUAGCAUAAUGUUUUCAAGGUUUGUCCACUUUGCAGCAUGCAUCAGUACAUCAUUCCUUUUCAUGGCUGUAUCACAUUCCAUUGAAUGGAUAUACCACAGUUUAUCCAUUCAUCAGUUAAUGGACAUUUGGUUUAUUCUUACUUUUUGCCAUCCUAGUGGGUGUGAAGUGAUAUUUCCUUUCAAGUGAGCACUUGGCUUUUUCUAGAAGACUCAGUGGUGGAAAAAAAAGUUGUAUGUUUGAGAAUGAAGACAAAUGGAUGAUUGAAGUGAUGGGUCAUGCAGUGAAAUACAGAAAUGUGCAGGACCCAUGGGAGGGAUACCAUAACUUCACCCCUCACUACACUAAAGGGUGUAAAGGAGGCCUUAUAUUAACAAAGGGCUCAGUAUUGAUCUCAGAAAUAUUACAUGUAAGUGAAAUGUAACUCCAGCAAAAUUGCCAAUGAACACUUUUUGCUAAAAUAGUUACAAAUUUCAACUGGAACUAUAAAUGCAUAUGAAUGCCUGGGAUGUAUUUGGAGGAAAAAAAUAUAUUUGAAGAAAAAAAAGAACAAAAAUGAUGAGAACAUAUAUACCAGAUACUAAAACAUAUUGUAAAGUUAGUGAGCAGUGUGGUCUUAGCAUUCGAAAAAGCCAAUGGAUAGGUGGAAAAGAAGAGAAGAGCCAAGUUCACAUGGGAAUUUAUUGUAAGACAAAGAUGACAUUGUAUCAUCAGAAGUGAAAGGAUGGUUAAUUUUAUAAAUGGUGUUGGGGUGACUAUAUUAAAAAAGUAAUGUCCCCAUCUCACACAGCAUAGCAAAAUAAAUUAGUGCUAGAGUAAAUAUGUAUGAGGAUCCCUGUGUCCACAGAACAUUAGAAGGGAGACUUAGGCAGUUGUGGGGGGUUAGAUUUUGUGGAAUGGUAGGGAGAGCAGAGAUACAAGGAAGAAGGUCAUGUCAGGAUGCACAGGAAAGAGGGCUAUGUGAGGAUACACAGAGAAGGUGGACCAGGCAGAGACACACUGAAGGGAGGCCAGUGGAGAAGGUCACGAAGACGUGAAGGUGGAGAUUGGUGUGAUGCAGCUGUAAACUGGGGAACACCAAGAAUUGCUGGAGGCCACCAGAAACUAGGAAACUGCAAAGGAAGGAUUCUUUCCUACAGUUUUCAGGGAGAGAAUGGCCCUGCUGAUACCUUGAUUUUGGGUUUCUGUUCUCCAGAACUGUGAGAGAAUAAAUUCCUGUGUUUAAACCACCACACGAUGGUAGUUUGUUACCACAGUCCUAGGAAAUGAGUGCAGUGACUAAUCAGAUUUGAUUUGAUGGAAGGAGUAAUCUGAAACAUUACUGAAUUUUCCCGAAGAUUAAUACCAGAAGCUGUGUUUGAUUAUUCAGUUUUUGGGUAGACAGAACUUCAAUUUCAUGGUUAAGGAGGCCUCACAGAUCUGCAUGAUGAAUUUGAAGAGUCUGGACUCGUCCCAGAGAGGCAGGAACUUUGUCUUAGUCACUGCUGUUUCCCCAGCAUUUAUAACAGUUAGAACAGAACAUACCUGAAACUCAAUGACUCUUUAAUUAAUGAGCUAAUAAGUAGAAAACAUGCAAAAAUACCAAGUUAUCAAUUUUUAUAACAAUGAAGACACUG
rnacentral:lncRNA from 1 species